GUAUAACAUGUUAAGCGAAAACACGGUUCCAACAUGGUUCAAAGAUGUUAAAAGACAAAAACACAAGACAUACAACAUAAAACCACUGUUAUUUGUGAACAGACGUGUUGAGGAGAAUACCCAUUUACAGAACUGUACACACAAUGUUGCUUCUGUUGUUCUUCUCUAAGCUGUGCUGGCAGCAGUCACACACUUGUGAAUUCAUCACUACCAAUGAGUUUGAGGGAACACCUUUAAUAAAUACAUAAUAAUAUUAUUUUAGAUCACCAGCAGUUUGUUCACUUGUCAAAACACUAUACCAAGCAGGACAGAAAAGUCAAAAAACCUGCAAAACAGGAACAUUUGCUAGCGAUCAUGCUAGCAGUAAUAUUUUAGCAACAGAUUCAAAAAACAAACCAAAAAAAUAUAUUAAAAAAUGUAAAUAGAACAAAAUAGAGUAACAUGACUGUGUAUUAAACUGGCGCUUAACAAGAAUAUUACAGAAAAAUAGCCACUUUACCAAUACAUCCAUGCAUUUUACAUGGACAAUAGCAAGUUUUUUGCUAGCGACUAUCUAUUUUGCCAGCUAAAAUUGGUAGCUGACACUAGCAGAUUUUAUUAGCUGUAGCUAGCUAGCUAAUUGAACUAAUGUUUGCUCAGGGAUUUGUUGGUGUAUCUGGAUGACUUUGUUUUUUGUUUGAAAACAUGAACCCUGUAAAAGAAAUUUAAAUAUAACAUUCAUUUGGACCACUGCCAGUUUCGGCAGUAAUCACUAGAAUGACGUGGCCUAAUGUUGCGAGGAGACCAGUAGACCACGGUGAAAAUCAUCCCGCACACUCCCUAACACACAUGUGCACGGAGGCAGAAACAUUUGCGACAGACUAAACAAAGGAGUUGAGUGUCAAAAAUGAACCAUCAUCACACUGAGCCAAUACCAGUAUGUUUGCUCACAGCUGAGCAGCUAUCUCUAAAUGUUCACUGUUCUUCAGUCCUGCUGUUUUGUCUUUGUCAGUGUUGUAUAUUGUAUACACGGGGCCUGUUCGUACUUUCAUCCCUCAGAAGCAGCUUUGAUUUGAUGGUAGAUGACUGAUGCUGUGAAAAGAGCCCGGGGCAGUGUUCUUGAAUCUUGAAGUCGUCGUGGUUUGCACAUGUACAUGACUGAUCAGUGACAGGAGGUCACACAUCACAAGGUCUUUCACAAGGAGGAGUCCCUGACGAGUCCGUGUGGUCUUCAAACUACGUUUUGUCACGAAAACACAUGUGAGAAGUAACACGGGAAAUGACGCAAUACCACCCAGUGUCUUGCGCUCUCAUUGACUGUAUUUUGUCACCUAUGGCAAGCUGUUUUUACAUUUAUUCGAACCACACUCCUAUCUGUAAUUACAUUUUAGAUAUCCAUAAUAACAUUUUCCUAGUCAAAACUGUAUUCUCACUCGUCAGAAUGGUAAUUAAAGAUAACCACAAUAACAUUCUUACUAGUAGAAAUUGUAUUUCAAGAUAUCUGCAACUUUGAUUGUACUGGUCAAAAGUACAUUUAAGAUAUUUAAAAAUCUGUAAAAAGUAUAAGUGGUCAUUUUAACAUUUAAUAGCUAGACUGGGUAUAUAUUGUAGAUAUCUGUAAUUCAGUUCUUCCUAGUCAAAAAGAAGAUUUCAGAUAUCCACAAUGACAUUCUUCCAAAAUGAAAAACGAUUCCAGAUAUCUAUAAUGUGAUUUUGAAUAUUCAGAAUACAUUGUGACCAGUAAAAAUGUCAUUACAGUUAUCCACAA